AUGUUUUCUAAUAAACUGUGGGCAGCUUUGAAGUUUGUUUGUUCACUUUCUGUAUGGUAUCUGUUUUUAAAUCUACGUGGGCUGCAUUCUAAGACAAAAUGUUCAGAUUUGAGCUGCAUUGUUUUAUGUGGAAGUGAAUGCAGGGGAACUAAAUGGCUAAGACUUUGUUUCUUUAAUCAUUUUUGGGGGAGAUCCUAAUCGUUUCACUUUUUUCUUUUUCGCAUUUAUAUUUCGGUAGUUAAAAAGGGUGACAGAAUAGCUCAACUGAUUUGUGAACGCAUCUGCUAUCCAGAACUUGAGGAGUUGAAGAGUCUAGAUGAAACUGAACGCGGUGCAGGUGGUUUUGGCUCUACUGGUACAAACUGAACGUGAUGUUCUGCCAAACCAUUUCAGACACUGCCUAAUGUCUCUUUGGAGAAUGUUACAAGCUGUGGGUUCUUCAGGAAACAGCAAAUUGAGAAAUGUAUAGUGAACGUCUUUCAUGCUUUGUGGGUAAAACAGAAUGGGAAUCUAUCCUAAUGUAAAACUGCUUUCAUCUAGGCAAUUUCAAGAGCCUGAUCUUGGUAGUGACUGUAAGACUACUUAUUCUAGUUAUGGACUUGAGCAGUUGGGUGUUUUUUUAUUAUAACAAUAAAACUUUUUGACAUUAAAAAAAAA